UUGUUUUGUUUUGUUUUUUCAGUUGGAAGAAAAAUGGAAUCGAUACACAGAGGCUGUGCAGGGUGCUGAGAAGAUGCAAGAACACCUGCAAAAACUUCAACUUGAAAAUUCCAGGCUGAAAAGUAAAGUCAAAAAGCAAGCAGGGAAAAUUGAACACCUUCAG